rnacentral:lncRNA from 1 species
AUGUCAUAAGUUUCCGACACUAGAUAACCAUUGCAUUUACCAAUUUCAUUCCAAUUCCAAAAUACAUUUGCGCUCAAAGCACAUAAACCACAAAACCAUGACAUUACACAACCAUUACCACAUUUCCAUAAAUUACAAAGUCAUGUUCCAAAUUACAUUUCACAACAUUUUCUUACAAGUUCAUCAUAUUACAUAAACCCUACAAGUACAAUCCUAAUGAAUAAUCAAAGCUCCAUUAAC